rnacentral:rRNA from 1 species
GAUGAACUCUAGCUACAGGCUUAACACAUGCAAGUCGCGGGGCAGCAUGGGGGUUGCUUGCAAUCCCCGAUGGCGACCGGCGCACGGGUGAGUAACGCGUAUCCAACCUGCCCUUCACCACGGGAUAACCCGGCGAAAGUCGGACUAAUACCGUAUGUUGUCCAUUGACGGCGUCCGAUUUGGACGAAAGGUUUGGCGGUGAAGGAUGGGGAUGCGUCCGAUUAGCUGGACGGCGGGGUGACGGCCCACCGUGGCGACGAUCGGUAGGGGUUCUGAGAGGAAGGUCCCCCACACUGGAACUGAGACACGGUCCAGACUCCUACGGGAGGCAGCAGUGAGGAAUAUUGGUCAAUGGGCGUAAGCCUGAACCAGCCAAGUAGCGUGCAGGAUGACGGCCCUAUGGGUUGUAAACUGCUUUUAUGCGGGGAUAAAGUGGCCCACGUGUGGGUUUUUGCAGGUACCGCAUGAAUAAGGACCGGCUAAUUCCGUG